ACCCGUUCUGCAGGAAUCUGACGGCAGGGGGCGCUGUGCGGAGCCGCGCUGGGUGCGUCGGGCUCUCUGGCACGUCCUCUCGCCUCCUCCGGGCUUCCGGCGUGGCUCCCGCGCGCCAGCAUGGACCUUAACCCGUCGCCUCCGCCGCCUAGCUGCGAUCAGGAGGACGAGGAGGACCCGGCCGGGGGAGACUGCAUUGGGAGCACGGUCUACAGCAAGCACUGGCUCUUCGGCGUCCUCAGCGGGCUCAUCCAGAUUGUCACACUUGAAAGUGACAAGUCCGACUCAGAUGAUGAUGAGCAGCAGAUGGAGCUUGCUGAAGAAAUGGAGAAUGAAAUUUUCAGAGUCGGGGAUAUGUCCAUGGAUGAGGAUGUGGCUUUAUUUCUCCAAGAAUUUAAGGCUCCUGACAUAUUCAUGGGAGUGCUGGCCAAAUCCAGGUGCCCCCGAUUAAGAUUUCUGGCCUGGAUAUCUGACACUCUGUCUGGAGCUGGAGAGGAGGAGGGAGGCCUUCACCAACAUUAUGUAUCUGAAUGACAUAAGCCUGAUGGAAGGGGACAAUGGGUGGAUCCCUGAGACCUUGGAGGAAUGGAAGCUUCUCCUACAUCUACUACAGAACAAGAGCACAAGGCCAACUCCUCAGGAGUCACUGAAUGGGAGCCUCAGUGAUGGGCCUGCCCCCAUCAAUGUGGAGAAUGUGGCACUCUUGUUAGCUAAGGCCAUGGGCCCAGAUCGGGCUUGGUCACUGCUACAGGAAUGUGGUCUAGCCCUUGAGUUGUCGGCAAAGUUUACCAGAACCUGUGACAUCCUGAGGAUCGCUGAGAGAAGACAGAGGAAGUUUCACACUUAGAGCUGCCUUCCUCAAGGCACAACAUCCUCCUGUGUGGACCAGGUUGUGAAAUUGAAUCAGACAGAAGAUGAUGCUCUUGAAAGUCUCAGUGAGAAGUGAGCAGUCGAUGGCUAUAUGCGUUAAUUUGUGUUUUGAAGGUAAAUGUUGUGUAAAAGAAUUAGAUUGGGAUAUGAACUUGUAUUUUCAUUUUUCUCUAAGUUAAAGACAAACACUUGCUCCUACAAGGUACAGAUGUAGAGCAAUGUGUGUGUGUGUGUGUGUGUGUGUGUGUGUGUGUGUAUGUGUGUGUGUGUGUGUGUAUGAGUGUAUUCAAAACUCUCAAAUAUACUGUGUAAGUCUAUUGGUUCACAUUAACAACACCUCUAUUUCCACUCAACCAUCUAACUAUAAACACACACACACACACACACACACACACACACACACACACACAUCAAAUAGCUAGCAGAUAAUAAUAUAUAAUUUUUUUCCUCUGUAAGAUGUUAUUUUGGAUGCUGAAAACAUUGGUAGAAUUAAUGUCUGUGCUUUAUGAGGGGGGAGUAGCUGUAUUCUUCAUAUGAACACCCUUUUCCCUACCACAACUAAAUGUGUCUCACAAGAGUUAGUUUUUCCUUUAUAUAGUCACACAUUUAUUUACUAUGAUAGGAAACUAAUAGGAAAAUCUUAAAGAGGUGGUGACUUUACUUUUAGUUUACCAUUUGGGGAAUGUCAAUUUGAGGCAUGGUUCUGUGUUUGAGACACUACAUUAUGUGAUGCAUUGUGGCAGAGCUAUAUAGUAGGAUAAGCUACUCAUCUCAUGUCAGUCAGAAAGACAAGAGAGGAGAG